AGAGUUUGAUCCUGGCUCAGAUUGAACGCUGGCGGCAUGCCUAACACAUGCAAGUCGAACGCGAAAGGGGCUUGCCCUGAGUAGAGUGGCGGACGGGUGAGUAACGCGUAGGAAUCUACCCAAUAGUGGGGGAUAACCCGGCGAAAGCCGGGCUAAUACCGCAUAUGCCCCAAGGGGCAAAGCAGGGGAUCUUCGGACCCUUGCGCUAAUGGAUGAGCCAUGCGUCGGAUUAGCUAGUUGGUGGGGUAAAGGCCUACCAAGGCGGCGAUCCGUAGCUGGUCUGAGAGGAUGAUCAGCCACACUGGGACUGAGACACGGCCCAGACUCCUACGGGAGGCAGCAGUGGGGAAUAUUGGACAAUGGGGGCAACCCUGAUCCAGCAAUGCCGCGUGUGUGAAGAAGGCCUUCGGGUUGUAAAGCACUUUCGGUAGGGAAGAAAAAAGCCUGGCUAAUAUCCAGGCUCUUGACGGUACCUAAAGAAGAAGCACCGGCUAACUCUGUGCCAGCAGCCGCGGUAAUACAGAGGGUGCAAGCGUUAAUCGGAAUUACUGGGCGUAAAGCGUGCGUAGGUGGUUUCGGUAAGUCAGAUGUGAAAGCCCUGGGCUCAACCUGGGAACGGCAUUUGAUACUGUCGAGCUAGAGUUUGGUAGAGGGAAGUGGAAUUCCACGUGUAGCGGUGAAAUGCGUAGAUAUGUGGAGGAACACCAGUGGCGAAGGCGGCUUCCUGGACUAAAACUGACACUGAGGCACGAAAGCGUGGGGAGA
rnacentral:rRNA from 1 species